rnacentral:tRNA from 1 species
GGGCAUUUAGCUCAGCGGCAGAGCGUUCCGUUCACAUCGGAAAGGUCAUAGGUUCAAAUCCUAUAAUGCCCACAA